UACGUAGGGUGCGAGCGUUAAUCGGAAUUACUGGGCGUAAAGCGUGCGCAGGCGGUGAUGUAAGACCGAUGUGAAAUCCCCGGGCUUAACCUGGGAACUGCAUUGGUGACUGCAUUGCUGGAGUAUGGCAGAGGGGGGUGGAAUUCCACGUGUAGCAGUGAAAUGCGUAGAGAUGUGGAGGAACACCGAUGGCGAAGGCAGCCCCCUGGGCCAAUACUGACGCUCGAUGCACGAAAGCGUGGGGAGCGAAACAAGG
rnacentral:rRNA from 1 species